rnacentral:rRNA from 1 species
GAUGAACGCUGGCGGCGUGCCUAAUACAUGCAAGUCGAGCGAACAGACGAGGAGCUUGCUCCUCUGACGUUAGCGGCGGACGGGUGAGUAACACGUGUAUAACCUACCUAUAAGACUGGGAUAACUUCGGGAAACCGGAGCUAAUACCGGAUAAUAUAUUGAACCGCAUGGUUCAAUAGUGAAAGACGGUUUUGCUGUCACUUAUAGAUGGAUCCGCGCCGCAUUAGCUAGUUGGUAAGGUAACGGCUUACCAAGGCGACGAUGCGUAGCCGACCUGAGAGGGUGAUCGGCCACACUGGAACUGAGACACGGUCCAGACUCCUACGGGAGGCAGCAGUAGGGAAUCGUCCGCAAUGGGCGAAAGCCUGACGGAGCAACGCCGCGUGAGUGAUGAAGGUCUUCGGAUCGUAAAACUCUGAUAUUAGGGAAGAACAAAUGUGUAAGUAACUAUGCACGUCUUGACGGUACCUAAUCAGAAAGCCACGGCUAACUACGUG